rnacentral:rRNA from 1 species
GGGUGACGUGGUGCCAGGUGCGGCGGUAAGAGGUAGGGGGCAAGGGUUAAUGGGAAUUAAGUGGCUGAAAGCGGGCGCCGGCGGUGAUGCAAGGCGGAGGGGAAUGCCGCGGGCUGAACCUGGGAACUGCAUUGGUGACUGGAUCGCUGGAGUAUGGCAGAGGGGGGUAGAAUUCCACGUGUAGCAGUGAAAUGCGUAGAGAUGUGGAGGAAUACCGAUGGCGAAGGCAGCCCCCUGGGCAAAUACUGACGCUCAUGCACGAAAGCGUGGGGAGCAAACAGGAUUAGAUACCCAGUAGUC